UAUUUGUAUGUUUAUAUUAAUUAUUAAUAUAUUGUUUGUUAUACCAAUAGUUGGUACUUACCUAGAAUGAAUAAUGAUAAUGAUAAUAAUAUAAUCUCAAGUCCCCAACGUAUUAAUAAUAGAAUUUUUAAAUACAAUUAGUUAAGAUUAAGAUCACUCAUGCUCUGAAAUCCAGUGUUUCAAAAGAACAGUUUUAUGAACGUUAAUUUGUUAUUUUAAUGUCGUAAAAUAAAUACUAACUUUAAUAAUAUAAUUCAAUUAUAUGUUCAUUUCUUCAAAAUAUUAUCUUUUUUCAGUUUUAUAAUAAUUAACUUUCGCUCUGAAUUUGCUCAUAAGAAACAGCUAGUUACAUCGCCAAUCAUCAUUAACAUACUAGUUACAGUUUUUUUUUUAUAAAUUAUACUUUGGACCACAACAUGUAAACUAAUUUGAAUUAUUAGCAUUGCCUUAUAAUAAUAUAAUUAUGUUUAAAUUUUUCUUAAAAUGUUAAAUUUGCCUUUACACACUGGCUACUAAUAAUAUUAAGCGGAUGUCAGCUCACCAUUUGUUUUCUCUAUAUCUGACCCACGAGUAAAAUUGCAAAUUAUGUUUAGCAGAACUGGUAAUUUUGUAUUGUUACUUUUAAUAUUAAAGUAAAUUCACCUAUAAUCGAACUUUGAGUUAAGAGCAUUACCUGUCCAUUCUUUACGAUAUUUUUAUUUCUAUUGAAUUUAUAAGCUUUUUUAAAUUGUGACAUUUUACACGCUCUUAUAACAUACUUAAAAAUUAAAAUAUCAUAAAAUAUCCAAUGUUUGGCACAGGUAAUGUUGUUGAAUUAAAGUUUGACUAUAGGUGAAUUCGCUCUAAUACUUAAAGUACCUAAUAAUAUAACGUUCGUUAUGAUGUACUUAAAUUUGGUAUAUCUAACGCUUGGUUCAGAGAUAGAAAGAAAACAAAUCGUGAGAUGACAUCAUCUUAAUUUUUUAGUAGAUUUAGGCAAUUUUAACAUUUUAAGAAUAAUUUAAACAUUAUAUUAUAAACCAAUAAUUCAGAUUAUUUUACAGGUGGUACCACGUUAAUGCCAUUUCAUAUUGAUGGUUGGGUGUCUAAUUAUUGUGAAACUAUGCAAUAUUAUAGAAACUCAAAGACUUCAACUAUAGGGUGUUUACACAGAUUGGCUAUUUCACCGGUUCUUGAGUGCAAUUUUAGAGCUAUAGUAAACUAUUACAAAAUCAAAAAAGGAUAAUACUUUAGAAAAAAUAGACAUAUUAUUAUUAUAUUCAGAACAUCUACUGACAUCAUUUUAAUAAACGGGUGGAACGUUCUCUCGAACACAACGCAUUACACUAACGCAGGCAAUACAAUUAUGUCAAUAUGCAAAGACGAGUGCUUGAUGUACCAACGGAACAAAACGAACUGUCAUCGCACGAUAUGUCUGUUUAUUAAUUACCGCAAUGUGUGUGUGACACACGACGGACGUCGUGCGACCGAUCGCCCGCAAGACAUACCAACAAUAUAUACGUGCGACCGAUUGCCAAGGCAUAACACUGUGCGACGUGACAUUUGAACGCCGAAAUGUACGCGAUUAGAGGUAAUUGACGUCUCGGCAGUUAAUAAAUCACAUUUUAAUCCAACUCGCGGGGCGCCAGAUGAUCAGACAAGACCACAUAUAUACUAUAUGUAUAAUAUGCUACCGCUGUGGCCCCAGCGGCGGCGGCGGUGUGCAGGGGUCGGCCUUGGCCAGCAGGCCGAGACACUGUAAAUAAAACUUGCACACGGCGUAAACAUAAUUGUAACGAAAUUUUAUAGUGUCCAAAGACCAAAUUUUCGUCGUACGUAAUUAUAAACAGACUGACUUUCGGCUCCACAACAAAGCAUAUAUUAUAUGUGUCUCGAUUAAUUUCGCAU